CCUACGGGAGGCAGCAGUGGGGAAUUUUGCGCAAUGGGGGCAACCCUGACGCAGCAACGCCGCGUGAGUGAUGAAGGCCUUCGGGUCGUAAAGCUCUGUCAGAGGGGAAGAAAUGCAGGUGGUGAACAACCAUUCUGUUUGACGGUACCCUCAAAGGAAGCACCGGCUAACUCCGUGCCAGCAGCCGCGGUAAUACGGAGGGUGCGAGCGUUGUUCGGAAUUAUUGGGCGUAAAGCGCGUGUAGGCGGUUUGUUAAGUCUGAGGUGAAAGCCCCGGGCUCAACCUGGGAAGUGCAUUGGAUACUGGCAGACUUGAGUACGGGAGAGGAGAGUGAAAUUCCCAGUGUAGGAGUGAAAUCCGUAGAUAUUGGGAGGAACACCGGUGGCGAAGGCGGCUCUCGGGGGUCAACCUGACGCUGAGGUGCGAAAGCGUGGGGAGCGAACCGGAUUAGAUACCCGGGUAGU
rnacentral:rRNA from 1 species